rnacentral:misc_RNA from 1 species
UAACUCAAGUUCCUCCCCUUCAUCUUCAGUAAGUUUAUUUCUAGAUUCAGUAAAUUGUCCAGUGGUUUUUUCUCCUUCAUCCUUGCCCUCAUCACUGCCUUGCUCCUACACCUGCAUUGUCUUUCUCUGGGCCUAAAAGAGAUGGAAUGCUUUCAGAAGCAAUUCCACCAAAAGCAUCAUCCUCUACAGCACUUGAUUCAUUAAUUUCCCAUCUCCACAUCCAGCAUAUCAGAUU